UACGGAGGGCGCAAGCGUUGUUCGGAAUCACUGGGCGUAAAGCGCGUGUAGGCGGCUUUGCAAGUCGGAUGUGAAAUCCCGAGGCUCAACCUCGGAACUGCACUCGAUACUGCUUGGCUCGAGUCCCGGAGAGGUUGGCGGAAUUCCCGGUGUAGGGGUGAAAUCCGUAGAUAUCGGGAGGAACAUCAGUGGCGAAGGCGGCCUCCUGGACGGUGACUGACGCUGAGACGCCAAAGUGUGGUGAGCAAACAGG
rnacentral:rRNA from 1 species